AGAAUCAACGCUGGCGGCGUGCCUAACACAUGCAAGUCGAACGGGAAAGUGGAGCAAUCCAUGAGUAAAGUGGCGCACGGGUGAGUAACACGUGACUAACCUACCCUUGAGUGGGGAAUAACUUCGGGAAACCGAGGCUAAUACCGCAUAACACCUACGGGUCAAAGGAGCAAUUCGCUUAAGGAGGGGGUCGCGGCAGAUUAGUUAGUUGGUAGGGUAAUGGCCUACCAAGACGGUGAUCUGUAU
rnacentral:rRNA from 1 species